rnacentral:rRNA from 1 species
CGGAAUCUGCCUAUUUGUGGGGGAUAACGUAGGGAAACUUACGCUAAUACCGCAUACGACCUACGGGUGAAAGCGGAGGACCUUCGGGCUUCGCGCAGAUAGAUGAGCCGAUGUCGGAUUAGCUAGUUGGCGGAGUAAAGGCCCACCAAGGCGACGAUCCGUAGCUGGUCUGAGAGGAUGAUCAGCCACACUGGAACUGAGACACGGUCCAGACUCCUACGGGAGGCAGCAGUGGGGAAUAUUGGACAAUGGGCGCAAGCCUGAUCCAGCCAUGCCGCGUGGGUGAAGAAGGCCUUCGGGUUGUAAAGCCCUUUUGUUGGGAAAGAAAAGCAGUCGGUUAAUACCCGAUUGUUCUGACGGUACCCAAAGAAUAAGCACCGGCUAACUUCGUGCCAGCAGCCGCGGUAAUACGAAGGGUGCAAGCGUUACUCGGAAUUACUGGGCGUAAAGCGUGCGUAGGUGGUUUGUUAAGUCUGAUGUGAAAGCCCUGGGCUCAACCUGGGAAUUGCAUUGGAUACUGGCAGGCUAGAGUGCGGUAGAGGGUAGUGGAAUUCCCGGU